UCCAUGUGUAGCGGUGAAAUGCGUAGAUAUAUGGAGGAACACCAGUGGCGAAAGCGGCUCUCUGGUCUGUCACUGACGCUGAGGCUCGAAAGCGUGGGUAGCGAACAGGAUUAGAUACCCUGGUAGUNCACGCCGUAAACGAUGAGUGCUAGGUGUUAGGCCCUUUCCGGGGCUUAGUGCCGGAGCUAACGCAAUAAGCACUCCGCCUGGGGAGUACGACCGCAAGGUUGAAACUCAAAGGAAUUGACGGGGGCCCGCACAAGCGGUGGAGCAUGUGGUUUAAUUCGAAGCAACGCGAAGAACCUUACCAGGUCUUGACAUCCCGAUGCUAUUCUUAGAGAUAGGAAGUUACUUCGGUACAUCGGAGACAGGUGGUGCAUGGUUGUCGUCAGCUCGUGUCGUGAGAUGUUGGGUUAAGUCCCGCAACGAGCGCAACCCUUAUUGUUAGUUGCCAUCAUUAAGUUGGGCACUCUAGCGAGACUGCCGGUAAUAAACCGGAGGAAGGUGGGGAUGACGUCAAAUCAUCAUGCCCCUUAUGACCUGGGCUACACACGUGCUACAAUGGUCGGUACAACGAGUUGCGAGCCGGUGACGGCAAGCUAAUCUCUGAAAGCCGAUCUCAGUUCGGAUUGGAGGCUGCAACUCGCCUCCAUGAAGUCGGAAUCGCUAGUAAUCGCGGAUCAGCACGCCGCGGUGAAUACGUUCCCGGGCCUUGUACACACCGCCCGUCACACCACGAGAGUUUGUAACACCNGAAGUCG
rnacentral:rRNA from 1 species